AUGGAUCACGACAUCAAGAUAGCUAUAUGGAAUGUGCGCGGCCUUAACGCGCGUGCCCGGCGCUAUGCCAUUAGAUCGCUGCUCAACACCACCGGAGCCUCUAUUGUAUGCCUACAAGAAACUAAAAUGGCUUUGAUCUGCUCGUCCAUUAUCCUCAAUGCCCUCAGUUCAGAGUUUGACGAUGUUGCGUCUUGA
rnacentral:rRNA from 1 species